AUUGAACGCUGGCGGCAUGCCUUACACAUGCAAGUCGAACGGCAGCACGGGGGCAACCCUGGUGGCGAGUGGCGAACGGGUGAGUAAUACAUCGGAACGUACCUAGUAGUGGGGGAUAGCUCGGCGAAAGCCGGAUUAAUACCGCAUACGCACUACGGUGGAAAGCGGGGGAUCGCAAGACCUCGCGCUAUUAGAGCGGCCGAUGCCGGAUUAGCUUGUUGGUGGGGUAAAGGCCUACCAAGGCGACGAUCCGUAGCUGGUCUGAGAGGACGACCAGCCACACUGGGACUGAGACACGGCCCAGACUCCUACGGGAGGCAGCAGUGGGGAAUUUUGGACAAUGGGCGAAAGCCUGAUCCAGCAAUGCCGCGUGUGUGAAGAAGGCC
rnacentral:rRNA from 1 species